GAUGAACGCUGGCGGCGUGCCUAAUACAUGCAAGUCGAGCGAACAGAUGAGGAGCUUGCUCCUCUGACGUUAGCGGCGGACGGGUGAGUAACACGUGGAUAACCUACCUAUAAGACUGGGAUAACUUCGGGAAACCGGAGCUAAUACCGGAUAAUAUAUUGAACCGCAUGGUUCAAUAGUGAAAGACGGUUUUGCUGUCACUUAUAGAUGGAUCCGCGCCGCAUUAGCUAGUUGGUAAGGUAACGGCUUACCAAGGCAACGAUGCGUAGCCGACCUGAGAGGGUGAUCGGCCACACUGGAACUGAGACACGGUCCAGACUCCUACGGGAGGCAGCAGUAGGGAAUCUUCCGCAAGGGGCGAAAGCCUGACGGAGCAACGCCGCGUGAGUGAUGAAGGUCUUCGGAUCGUAAAACUCUGUUAUUAGGGAAGAACAAAUGUGUAAGUAACUAUGCACGUCUUGACGGUACCUAAUCAGAAAGCCACGGCUAACUACG
rnacentral:rRNA from 1 species